rnacentral:rRNA from 1 species
GACGAACGCUGGCGGCGUGCUUAACACAUGCCAGUCGAACGGAAAGGCCCUGCUUUUGUGGGGUGCUCGAGUGGCGAAAGGGUGAGUAACACGUGAGUACCCUGCCCUUGACUUUGGGAUAACUUCAGGAAACUGGGGCUAAUACCGGAUAGGCGCUCCUGCUGCAUGGUGGGGGUUGGAAAGUUUCGGCGGUUGGGGAUGGACUCGCGGCUUAUCAGCUUGUUGGUGGGGUAGUGGCUUACCAAGGCGUUGACGGGUAGCCGGCCUGAGAGGGUGACCGGCCACAUUGGGACUGAGAUACGGCCCAGACUCCUACGGGAGGCAGCAGUGGGGAAUAUUGCACAAUGGGCGGAAGCCUGAUGCAGCAACGCCGCGUGAGGGAUGACGGCCUUCGGGUUGUAAACCGCUUUCGCCUGUGACGAAGCGUGAGUGACGGUAAUGGGUAAAGAAGCACCGGCUAACUACGUG